rnacentral:rRNA from 1 species
UACGUAGGGGGCAAGCGUUGUCCGGAAUUACUGGGCGUAAAGCGCGUGUAGGUGGUAGGACACGUCUGCUGUGAAAGCGCCUGGCUUAACCGGGCGAGGUCGGCGGAAACUGUCCGACUAGAGGACGGUAGAGGGGGGUGGAAUUCCCGGUGUAGUGGUGAAAUGCGUAGAGAUCGGGAGGAACACCUGUGGCGAAGGCGGCCCCCUGGGCCGGCCCUGACACUGAGACGCGAAGGCGUGGGGAGCGAACGGG